UCUACGGGUGGCAGCAGUGAGGAAUAUUGGUCAAUGGACGAGAGCCUGAACCAGCCAAGUCGCGUGAAGGAUGACUGCUCUAUGGUUUGUAAACUUCCUUUAUAUGGGAAUAAAAUGUGGCACGUGUUCGUUUUUGUAUGUACCAUAUGAAUAAGCAUCGGCUAACUCCGUGCCAGCAGCCGCGGUAAUACGGAGGAUUCGAGCGUUAUCCGGAUUUAUUGGGUUUAAAGGGAGCGUAGGUGGUUAGUUAAUUCAGUUGUGAAAGUUUGUGUCUCAACCAUAAAAUUGCAGUUGAAACUGGUUGACUUGAGUAUAGUUGAGGUAGGCGGAAUGCGUGGUGUAGCGGUGAAAUGCAUAGAUAUCACGCAGAACUCCGAUUGCGAAGGCAGCUUACGAAACUACAACUGACACUGAAGCACGAAAGCGUGGGGAUCAAACAGGAUUAGAUACCCUUGUAGUC
rnacentral:rRNA from 1 species